CUCGAGGACGACGCUGGCGGCAUGCCUAACACAUGCAAGUCGAACGGGGGUAGCAAUACCCUAGUGGCGAACGGGUGAGUAACACAUAAGCAAUCUGCCCUUCACAGGGGGAUAACAGCGGGAAACUGCUGCUAAUACCGCAUAAGACCACGGUACCGCAUGGUACAGGGGUAAAAACGAAUCAGUGGUGAAGGAUGAGCUUAUGUCCCAUUAGCUAGUUGGUGAGAUAACAGCCCACCAAGGCGACGAUGGGUAGCCGACCUGGGAGGGUGAUCGGCCACACUGGAACUGAGACACGGUCCAGACUCCUACGGGAGGCAGCAGUGGGGAAUAUUGGGCAAUGGAGGAAACUCUUUAACCCCCAGCAAUGCCGCGUGAGUGAAGAAGGUCUUCGGAUUGUAAAGCUCUCUGAUUGGGGACGAAGAAAGUGACGGUACCCAAAGAACAAGCCCCGGCUAACUACGUGCCAGCAGCAGC
rnacentral:rRNA from 1 species